GCGCCCGUAGCUCAGCGGAUAGAGCCACCGGCUUCUAACCGGUAGGUCGCAGGUUCGAAUCCUGCCGGGCGCAC
rnacentral:tRNA from 1 species